GGCGAACGGGUGCGUAACACGUGAGAAACCUGCCCCGGUCUCUGGAAUAACAGUUGGAAACGACUGCUAAUACCGGAUGCCGUCGGACCAUCGCAUGGUGGACCGACGAAAGGGUUACCGGACCGGGAGGGUCUCGCGGCCUAUCAGCUUGUUGGUGAGGUAACGGCUCACCAAGGCAUCGACGGGUAGCUGGUCUGAGAGGAUGGUCAGCCACACUGGGACUGAGACACGGCCCAGACUCCUACGGGAGGCAGCAGUAGGGAAUAUUGCACAAUGGGCGAAAGCCUGAUGCAGCAACGCCGCGUGCGGGAAGAAGGCCCUAGGGUUGUAAACCGCUUUCAGCAGGGAAGAAAAUGACGGUACCUGCAGAAGAAGGUGCGGCCAACUACGUGCCAGCAGCCGCGGUGACACGUAGGCACCAAGCGUUGUCCGGAUUUAUUGGGCGUAAAGAGCUC
rnacentral:rRNA from 1 species